rnacentral:rRNA from 1 species
GGGUUGUGAGGUUAAGCGACUAAGCGUACACGGUGGAUGCCCUGGCAGUCAGAGGCGAUGAAGGGCGUGCUAAUCUGCGAUAAGCGCCGGUAAGGUGAUAUGAACCGUUAUAACCGGCGAUACCCGAAUGGGGAAACCCAGUGUGAUUCGUCACACUAUCAUUAACUGAAUCCAUAGGUUAAUGAGGCGAACCGGGGGAACUGAAACAUCUAAGUACCCCGAGGAAAAGAAAUCAACCGAGAUUCCCCCAGUAGCGGCGAGCGAACGGGGAGGAGCCCAGAGCCUGAAUCAGCAUGUGUGUUAGUGGAAGCGUCUGGAAAGGCGCGCGAUACAGGGUGACAGCCCCGUACACAAAAGCGCAUGUGCUGUGAGCUCGAUGAGUAGGGCGGGACACGUGGUAUCCUGUCUGAAUAUGGGGGGACCAUCCUCCAAGGCUAAAUACUCCUGACUGACCGAUAGUGAACCAGUACCGUGAGGGAAAGGCGAAAAGAACCCCGGCGAGGGGAGUGAAAAAGAACCUGAAACCGUGUACGUACAAGCAGUGGGAGCACCCUUUGGGGUGUGACUGCGUACCUUUUGUAUAAUGGGUCAGCGACUUAUAUUCUGUAGCAAGGUUAACCGUAUAGGGGAGCCGUAGGGAAACCGAGUCUUAACCGGGCGUUAAGUUGCAGGGUAUAGACCCGAAACCCGGUGAUCUAGCCAUGGGCAGGUUGAAGGUUGGGUAACACUAACUGGAGGACCGAACCGACUAAUGUUGAAAAAUUAGCGGAUGACCUGUGGCUGGGGGUGAAAGGCCAAUCAAACCGGGAGAUAGCUGGUUCUCCCCGAAAGCUAUUUAGGUAGCGCCUCGUGAAUUCAUCUCCGGGGGUAGAGCACUGUUUCGGCUAGGGGGCCAUCCCGGCUUACCAACCCGAUGCAAACUGCGAAUACCGGAGAAUGUUAUCACGGGAGACACACGGCGGGUGCUAACGUCCGUCGUGAAGAGGGAAACAACCCAGACCGCCAGCUAAGGUCCCAAAGUCAUGGUUAAGUGGGAAACGAUGUGGGAAGGCCCAGACAGCCAGGAUGUUGGCUUAGAAGCAGCCAUCAUUUAAAGAAAGCGUAAUAGCUCACUGGUCGAGUCGGCCUGCGCGGAAGAUGUAACGGGGCUAAACCAUGCACCGAAGCUGCGGCAGCGACGCUGAUGCGUUGUUGGGUAGGGGAGCGUUCUGUAAGCCUGUGAAGGUGGCCUGUGAGGGUUGCUGGAGGUAUCAGAAGUGCGAAUGCUGACAUAAGUAACGAUAAAGCGGGUGAAAAGCCCGCUCGCCGGAAGACCAAGGGUUCCUGUCCAACGUUAAUCGGGGCAGGGUGAGUCGACCCCUAAGGCGAGGCCGAAAGGCGUAGUCGAUGGGAAACGGGUUAAUAUUCCCGUACUUGGUGUUACUGCGAAGGGGGGACGGAGAAGGCUAUGUUGGCCGGGCGACGGUUGUCCCGGUUUAAGCGUGUAGGUGUGUGUUCCAGGUAAAUCCGGUUCACUUUAACACUGAGGCGUGACGACGAGGCACUACGGUGCUGAAGCAACAAAUGCCCUGCUUCCAGGAAAAGCCUCUAAGCAUCAGGUAACAUCAAAUCGUACCCCAAACCGACACAGGUGGUCAGGUAGAGAAUACCAAGGCGCUUGAGAGAACUCGGGUGAAGGAACUAGGCAAAAUGGUGCCGUAACUUCGGGAGAAGGCACGCUGACACGUAGGUGAAGUGAUUUACUCAUGGAGCUGAAGUCAGUCGAAGAUACCAGCUGGCUGCAACUGUUUAUUAAAAACACAGCACUGUGCAAACACGAAAGUGGACGUAUACGGUGUGACGCCUGCCCGGUGCCGGAAGGUUAAUUGAUGGGGUCAGCGCAAGCGAAGCUCCUGAUCGAAGCCCCGGUAAACGGCGGCCGUAACUAUAACGGUCCUAAGGUAGCGAAAUUCCUUGUCGGGUAAGUUCCGACCUGCACGAAUGGCGUAAUGAUGGCCAGGCUGUCUCCACCCGAGACUCAGUGAAAUUGAACUCGCUGUGAAGAUGCAGUGUACCCGCGGCAAGACGGAAAGACCCCGUGAACCUUUACUAUAGCUUGACACUGAACAUUGAGCCUUGAUGUGUAG